UCAUUCAUAGCUUAAUGGUAGAGCAUCGACUAAGUAUGUCGGAAGUAUGGGGUUCGAUUCCCAGCUGAAUGAA
rnacentral:tRNA from 1 species